UGGGGAAUUUUGGACAAUGGGCGAAAGCCUGAUCCAGCAAUACCGCGUGUGUGAAGAAGGCCUUCGGGUUGUAAAGCACUUUUGUCCGGAAAGAAAUCCUUGGCUCUAAUACAGUCGGGGGAUGACGGUACCGGAAGAAUAAGCACCGGCUAACUACGUGCCAGCAGCCGCGGUAAUACGUAGGGUGCAAGCGUUAAUCGGAAUUACUGGGCGUAAAGCGUGCGCAGGCGGUUUGCUAAGACCGAUGUGAAAUCCCCGGGCUCAACCUGGGAACUGCAUUGGUGACUGGCAGGCUAGAGUAUGGCAGAGGGGGGUAGAAUUCCACGUGUAGCAGUGAAAUGCGUAGAGAUGUGGAGGAAUACCGAUGGCGAAGGCAGCCCCCUGGGCCAAUACUGACGCUCAUGCACGAAAGCGUGGGGAGCAAACAGGAUUAGAUACCCUGGUAGUCCACGCCCUAAACGAUGUCAACUAGUUGUUGGGGAUUCAUUUCCUUAGUAACGUAGCUAACGCGUGAAGUUGACCGCCUGGGGAGUACGGUCGCAAGAUUAAAACUC
rnacentral:rRNA from 1 species